GAAAUUGGUGGAUUAUGUUGGUGAAACGUUUGUAUCAGCAGAUUCCAGCAUUAUCUUUGCUACAAGUCCCUCACUUUUUCAUCAGCCGAACUUUGGAAGGAUCACUUCUUUUUUUCAUGCUAUACUAAGCUUGUAUUAUCCAUAGACAGUUAAACCUUGAAUUAGAACUACAAAGUGAAGUGCUUUAGAAACAACACUUCAUACUUCAAUUAAGAUGCAGGAGAGAGCUAUUUUACCGUAUGACCUCAUUCUGUGAAAAUGAUGUCAGCUGAACAUAUGAAAAUGAUGUCAGCUGAACAUAUGAUUUCCAAACCAUAGAACUCAUGCUCUGGAGAAUUUUUUAAAAAAAUACCAUUUAGCAGCUGGAAAAGCUAUAUAAUUUCUUUAUAUCGCCCUUUAGAGCCUAAUUAGACACCCGAGAAAUAUGGUAUAUAUGCAUUUAGAACUCAAAAAGAUUAUGUUUAACAACACUGGACUUGGUUAUUGGGUGAUGAUAUUUAUUGCAGCUUGCAUUCGUGUAGGUUCUUGAUCGGGGAGAGAAGAUUGAACUUUUGGUGGACAAGACUGAAAGCUUGCAAUUUCAGGCUGACAGCUUUCAAAGACAGGGCAGGCAACUCCGAAGGAAGAUGUGGCUUCAGAAUCUCCAAUUCAAGCUGAUAAUAGCUGCUGCUUUGAUUGCAGUCAUACUUAUCACCUGGUUGAUGGCCUGCGGAGGGUUCAGGUGUUGAUGGGAGAAAAAUGAUAUUCAUGUUUCUAUUUCUUUCCUCCUCUGUAUAAUGACUGACGUCCUGUGCAUAUGAUGGUUGUCAACUUCUGUUGAUAUUUUAAGGACCCAUGCUAAGUUCAAUUAGUAUAUUGAAAUAUCUUGGUUUCUUCCAUCUUGCUGCACUGAUAGCCGAUGUUAAAAAUUUUAUGAUGAUUGUGAUGGGAACCAGUGUUAUUUUGAAAUCUGGA